rnacentral:rRNA from 1 species
AGUGAACGCUGGCGGUAGGCCUAACACAUGCAAGUCGAACGGCAGCACAGUAAGAGCUUGCUCUUACGGGUGGCGAGUGGCGGACGGGUGAGGAAUAUAUCGGAAUCUACUUUUUCGUGGGGGAUAACGUAGGGAAACUUACGCUAAUACCGCAUACGACCUACGGGUGAAAGCAGGGGAUCUUCGGACCUUGCGCGAUUGAAUGAGCCGAUGUCGGAUUAGCUAGUUGGCGGGGUAAAGGCCCACCAAGGCGACGAUCCGUAGCCGGUCUGAGAGGAUGGUAAGCCACACUGGAACUGAGACACGGUCCAGACUCCUACGGGAGGGAGCAGUGGGGAAUAUUGGACAAUGGGCGCAAGCCUGAUCCAGCCAUACCGCGUGGGUGAAGAAGGCCUUCGGGUUGUAAAGCCCUUUUGUUGGGAAAGAAAAGCAGCAGGUUAAUACCCCGCUGUUCUGACGGUACCCAAAGAAUAAGCACCGGCUAACUUCGUG